rnacentral:sRNA from 1 species
CAGGAUGCAGGGCCUGCGGGUCUCCACAGUGCCGGCCGUGCUGUCCCCCAAUGCCACGCUGGCACUGACGGCGGGCGUGCUGGUGGACUCGGCCGUGGAGGUGGCCUUCCUGUGGACCUUUGGGGAUGGGGAGCAGGCUCUCCACCAGUUCCAGCCUCCGUACAACGAGUCCUUCCCGGUUCCAGACCCUCGGUGGCCCAGGUGCUGGUGGAGCACAAUGUCACGCACACCUACGCUGCCCCAGGUGAGUACGUCCUGACCGUGCUGGCAUCUAAUGCCUUCGAGAACCUGACGCAGCAGGUGUCUGUGAGCGUGCGCGCCUCCCUGCCCUCCGUGGCUGUGGGUGUGAGUGACAGCGUCCUGGUGGCCGGCCGGCCCGUCACCUUCUACCCGCACCCGCUGCCCUCGCCUGGGGGUGUUCUUUACACGUGGGACUUCGGGGACGGCUCCCCUGUCCUGACCCAGAGCCAGCCGGCUGCCAACCACACCUAUGCCUCGAGGGGCACCUACCACGUGCGCCUGGAGGUCAACAACACGGUGAGCGGUGCGGCGGCCCAGGCAGAUGUGCGCGUCUUUGAGGAGCUCCGUGGGCUCAGCGUGGACAUGAGCCUGGCCGUGGAGCAGGGCGCCCCGUGGUGGUCAGCGCCGCGGUGCAGA